AUUGAACGCUGGCGGCAUGCCUUACACAUGCAAGUCGAACGGUAACGGGCCUUCGGGUGCCGACGAGUGGCGAACGGGUGAGUAAUACAUCGGAACGUGCCCGAUCGUGGGGGAUAACGAGGCGAAAGCUUUGCUAAUACCGCAUACGAUCUACGGAUGAAAGCAGGGGACCGCAAGGCCUUGCGCGGACGGAGCGGCCGAUGGCAGAUUAGGUAGUUGGUGGGAUAAAAGCUUACCAAGCCGACGAUCUGUAGCUGGUCUGAGAGGAGGAUCAGCCACAUUGGGACUGAGACACGGCCCAGACUCCUACGGGAGGCAGCAGUGGGGAAUUUUGGACAAUGGGCGCAAGCCUGAUCCAGCCAUGCCGCGUGCAGGAUGAAGGCCUUCGGGUUGUAAACUGCUUUUGUACGGAACGAAAAGCCUUCUUUUAAUACAGGAGGGUCAUGACGGUACCGUAAGAAUAAGCACCGGCUAACUACGUG
rnacentral:rRNA from 1 species